rnacentral:rRNA from 1 species
GACGAACGCUGGCGGCGUGCCUAACACAUGCAAGUCGAACGAGAUCCAUGGGAGCUUGCUCCCGGAAGAUCUAGUGGCGAACGGGUGAGUAACACGUGAGAAACCUGCCCUGGAGUGGGGAAUAACUCGGGGAAACUCGAGCUAAUACCGCAUACCCUCGGAUGGUCGCAUGGCCGACCGAGGAAAGAUUCAUCGCUCUAGGAGGGUCUCGCGGCCUAUCAGCUAGUUGGUGGGGUAACGGCCUACCAAGGCAACGACGGGUAGCUGGUUUGAGAGAACGAUCAGCCACACUGGGACUGAGACACGGCCCAGACUCCUACGGGAGGCAGCAGUGGGGAAUCUUGCGCAAUGGGCGAAAGCCUGACGCAGCAACGCCGCGUGCGGGAU